rnacentral:rRNA from 1 species
GAUGAACGCUAGCGGAGGCUUAACACAUGCAAGUCGAGGGACAGCAUAGGGUAGCAAUACUCUGAUGGCGACCGGCAAACGGGUGAGUAACGCGUAUGUAACCUACCCUGUACAGGGGGAUAACCCGGAGAAAUUCGGACUAAUAUCCCAUAACAAUAUCCGGGGGCAUCUUUGGAUAGUUUAAAGUUCCGGCGGUACGGGAUGGGCAUGCGUAACAUUAGCUAGUUGGUAAGGUAACGGCUUACCAAGGCUUUGAUGUUUAGGGGUCCUGAGAGGGUGGUCCCCCACACUGGUACUGAGACACGGACCAGACUCCUACGGGAGGCAGCAGUGAGGAAUAUUGGUCAAUGGGCGCAAGCCUGAACCAGCCAUCCCGCGUGCAGGAAGACGGCGCUAUGCGUUGUAAACUGCUUUUCCAGGGAGAGAAACUUGCGCACGUGUUGCGCAAUUGACGGUACCCUGGGAAUAAGCAUCGGCUAACUCCGUG